CCUCCCUCCCUCCCCCUCUUGUCGGCGCACGCCUCCUCCGGACUCGUCCGGGGGGCGUGUGCGCCGGCGCAAAACGAACCCCGGCGCGAUCCGCGCCAAGGAAAACAUAACUCUAGAAGAGCGCCCCGUCCUCCCGUCGCCCCGUCCGCGGUGCGCGUGCGGCUGGGCGGUGGCCGCUCCUCGGUGAAAACACAAACGACUCUCGGCAACGGAUAUCUCGGCUCUCGCAUCGAUGAAGAACGUAGCGAAAUGCGAUACUUGGUGUGAAUUGCAGAAUCCCGUGAACCAUCGAGUCUUUGAACGCAAGUUGCGCCCGAAGCCAUUAGGCCGAGGGCACGUCUGCAUGGGCGUCACGCAUCGCGUCGCCCCCCCAAACAAACAAACAAACAAACCAAACGUUUGUCGGUUGUUCAGGGGGAGCGGAUACUGGCCUCCCGUGCCUCGCGGCGCGGCUGGCUCAAAACGGAGUCCCCCGCGAAGGACGCACGGCAAGUGGUGGUUGAUAACAAGGCCCUCGCGUCCCGUCGUGCGCAWGUCCUGAGCGAUGGUGCAGGCUCUCGUGACCCUGACGCGUCUCCGUUCGUCCACAGCGACGAGCGACGGCGCUCCGACCGCGACCCCAUGUCAGGCGGGACU
rnacentral:rRNA from 1 species